rnacentral:rRNA from 1 species
UACGUAGGAGACGAGCGUUGUCCGGAGUUACUGGGCGUAAAGGGUGCGCAGGCGGCCUGGCGCGUCGCGAGUGAAAUCUCCUGGCUCAACUGGGAGGGUGGUCGCGAGACGGCUGGGCUUGAGGCUCGGUGAGGGGCGUGGAAUUCCGGGUGGAGCGGUGAAAUGCGUAGAGAUCCGGAGGAACACCGACGGCGUAGGCAGCGUCCUAGACGAGACCUGACGCUCAGGCACGAAAGCGUGGGGAGCAAACAGG